rnacentral:rRNA from 1 species
ACGGGUGAGUAACACGUGAGUAACCUGCCCUUAACUCUGGGAUAAGCCUGGGAAACUGGGUCUAAUACCGGAUAUGACUCCUCAUCGCAUGGUGGGGGGUGGAAAGCUUUAUUGUGGUUUUGGAUGGACUCGCGGCCCAUCAGCUUGUUGGUGAGGUAAUGGCUCACCAAGGCGACGACGGGUAGCCGGCCUGAGAGGGUGACCGGCCACACUGGGACUGAGACACGGCCCAGACUCCUACGGGAGGCAGCAGUGGGGAAUAUUGCACAAUGGGCGCAAGCCUGAUGCAGCGACGCCGCGUGAGGGAUGACGGCCUUCGGGUUGUAAACCUCUUUCAGUAGGGAAGAAGCGAAAGUGACGGUACCUGCAGAAGAAGCGCCGGCUAACUACGUGCCAGCAGCCGCGGUAAUACGUAGGGCGCAAGCGUUAUCCGGAAUUAUUGGGCGUAAAGAGCUCGUAGGCGGUUUGUCGCGUCUGCCGUGAAAGUCCGGGGCUCAACUCCGGAUCUGCGGUGGGUACGGGCAGACUAGAGUGAUGUAGGGGAGACUGGAAUUCCUGGUGUAGCGGUGAAAUGCGCAGA